ACUCCUACGGGAGGCAGCAGUAGGGAAUCUUCCACAAUGGGCGCAAGUCUGAUGGAGCAACACCGCGUGAGUGAAGAAGGGUUUCGGCUCGUAAAGCUCUGUUGUUAAAGAAGAACACGUAUGAGAGUAACUGUUCAUACGUUGACGGUAUUUAACCAGAAAGUCACGGCUAACUACGUGCCAGCAGCCGCGGUAAUACGUAGGUGGCAAGCGUUAUCCGGAUUUAUUGGGCGUAAAGAGAGUGCAGGCGGUUUUCUAAGUCUGAUGUGAAAGCCUUCGGCUUAACCGGAGAAGUGCAUCGGAAACUGGAUAACUUGAGUGCAGAAGAGGGUAGUGGAACUCCAUGUGUAGCGGUGGAAUGCGUAGAUAUAUGGAAGAACACCAGUGGCGAAGGCGGCUACCUGGUCUGCAACUGACGCUGAGACUCGAAAGCAUGGGUAGCGAACAGGAUUAGAUACCCUGGUAGGAUAGCG
rnacentral:rRNA from 1 species